GCUCCCAUCGUCUAGCGGUUAGGACGCCGCCCUCUCAAGGCGGAAACAGGGGUUCAAAUCCCCUUGGGAGCGCCA
rnacentral:tRNA from 2 species